rnacentral:lncRNA from 10 species
GUGAAGCUGCAUCAUUGUCUGGGGUAAAUACCUGAGGUUCGUUGUCUCACGCCAAGGGAAUCAAGGACGUGGACACACAAGAAAUGGAGUCCCUGUCUGACCGGGCCAUGUUGUAUGUUCCUUGCUGUACACGUGGUUGACAAAGAAAAGGGAAGAUGGAGCUGCGAUGUUGGACAUGCCUGGCCCCCAGCUCGACUUUCUCAGGAUACUGUCCCUCUCCCACAG